rnacentral:lncRNA from 1 species
GAUAAGGAUGAUGAGAAUAGCCGCACCCGCAGAGCAUCUUGUGCAGCCGCUUCUCCGCAUUGGAUGAUAAAUCUAUUCACGUGCUCCACGGUCGAAGUGUCGUCCAUCCCCGAGAACUUGGUGAAGUCAGGAACUUUAUACCGAUGGGGAAACAGUAAUAGAUCGUAUGUAGACGGGUAUGGUGUCCUAUAGGUAUAAGUUUGUACCUUCGGCUUUAAGCCGAAUUGUUCCUGAAUCACUUCUGCAAUACGUGCCGACCAAUCCGGCUGUUGCUGGUGAACCGUCGGCUGAGGUAUUGGCGCGUGCUGGUAUACCGGUGGUGGAAUAGCCUGAUGCUGAGUGAAAGCAG